rnacentral:lncRNA from 1 species
UUGGUCUCAAAUUCCUAGGCUCAAGUGAUUCCGCCCACCUCUGCCUCCCAAAGUGCUGGGAUUACGGGCAUGAGCCAGCGCAUCUGGCCACCUUAUUUUCUAUUACUGGCUCAAUGUAAUGGCUCCAUCUCAGGAACAGCCAAUGAAAGAGAUGCACAGGACAAGGCUGAUCUCUAACUCUUGGCCUCAAGCAAUCCUUCCUCUUUGGCCUCCCAAAAUGUUGGGAUUACAGAUGGGAGCCCCCAUACCCACCAAUCACAAGGAUCUUUAUAAGAGAAUGAGGUAGGAGAGUCAGAAUUAGAGAAAGUGAUGUGGUAAUGGAAGAAGAGGUCAGAGAGGGAGAUUUGAAGAUGCUGCACUUCUGGCCUUGAAUAUGGAGUCACGAGAGACAGCGUCUUGCUCUGUUGCUUAGGCUACAGUACAGU